rnacentral:lncRNA from 1 species
UGGCAUGAAGUAACGAGAAAGUCGAAAAGCUCCGGCGGUGGAGGAAGCGUGGAACUUUACAGGAUUGUUUAGUCUUUAGGGCAAUAGUAUAGUAGCUUCAAAGAGAACUCACAGCAAACACUUUUCUUUACUGGUAUCUGGUGCAAAUAAGCAAAUUGUAUGGUCGGGCGCCGAGCAAGAUUGGAAAGCAAUAACGUGUUAAAGUUAAACUGUGGCAUCGUAUUUUAUCUUUCUUGUGCGGGGUCGCUCUUGGUCGGAGGGACCUGCAGUUUUUGCUUUGCCAGUCGCCUCUCCCCUGUUUUUUCCCACCCCGCCUUGCUUCCCGGCAUUUUGGCUGAACCUUCAUCUUCUCCUUUUUAACUUGGAAUGGGUUACUCCUCCCAAGUCUUCUUUACUCGUAAUUUCCAGAUUCCCAAUGCUCAAAAUUGUAUGCUUGCC